ACCAGACUCCUACGGGAGGCAGCAGUGGGGAAUAUUGCACAAUGGGGGAAACCCUGAUGCAGCGACGCCGCGUGAGUGAAGAAGUAUUUCGGUAUGUAAAGCUCUAUCAGCAGGGAAGAAAAUGACGGUACCUGAUUAAGAAGCCCCGGCUAACUACGUGCCAGCAGCCGCGGUAAUACGUAGGGGGCAAGCGUUAUCCGGAUUUACUGGGUGUAAAGGGAGCGUAGACGGUGAUGCAAGUCAGAAGUGAAAGCCCGGGGCUCAACUCCGGGACUGCUUUUGAAACUGUGUAACUGGAGUGCAGGAGAGGUAGGCGGAAUUCCUGGUGUAGCGGUGAAAUGCGUAGAUAUCAGGAGGAACACCAGUGGCGAAGGCGGCUUACUGGACUGUAACUGACGUUGAGGCUCGAAAGCGUGGGGAGCAAACAGGAUUAGAUACCCGUGUAAC
rnacentral:rRNA from 1 species